rnacentral:rRNA from 1 species
UACGGGGGGGGGUAAGCGUUGUUCGGAAUUACUGGGCGUAAAGGGCUCGUAGGCGGCCAACUAAGUCAGACGUGAAAUCCCUCAGCUUAACUGGGGAACUGCGUCUGAUACUGGAUGGCUUGGAUUUGGGAGAGGAAAGUGGAAUUCCCGGUGUAGUAGUGAAAUGCGUAGAUAUCGGGAGGAACACCAGCGGCGAAGGCGACUUUCUGGCUGCUAACUGACGCUGAGACUGCGAA